GAUGAAGAACGUAGCGAAAUGCGAUAAGUAAUGUGAAUUGCAGAAUUCAGUGAAUCAUCGAAUCUUUGAACGCACAUUGCGCCCCUUGGUAUUCCGAGGGGCAUGCCUAUUCGAGCGUCAUUAUCACCCCUCAAGCCCCCGGGCUUGGUGUUGGGGAUCGGCGAGCCUCCGCGCCCGCCGUCCCCUAAAUCUAGUGGCGGUCUCGCUGUAGCUUCCUCUGCGUAGUAGCACACCUCGCACUGGGAAACAGCGCGGCCACGCCGUUAAACCCCCAACUUCUGAACGUUUGACCUCGGAUCAGGUAGGAAUACCCGCUGAACUUAAGCAUAUCAAUAAGCGGAGGA
rnacentral:misc_RNA from 1 species